rnacentral:RNase_P_RNA from 3 species
AGUUCAAUCCGGGCAGUUACUCACAUUAAAAUAUUUUUGUGGGAGGAAAGUCCGAGCUUCAUAGAACAAGGUGCCGGGUAACGCCCGGAAUCCCGUAUCGCGGGAUAUUGACAGUGCCACAGAAAAUAUACCGCCCCGAUUAAUCGGGGUAAGGGUGAAAAGGCGGGGUAAGAGCCCACCGCUCCGAUAGUAAUAUCGGAGGCACGGCAAACCACAUCUGAAGCAAGAUCAAAUAGGGAGAUCGUUUUUCCUGCAUUUGCACGAAAAGCGAAGUUGUUCGCUUCGCAGAUCUUCGGGUAGAUCGCUGGAUUCUGUCAGCAAUGACAGAACAAGAUAAAUGAUUGCCAUCCCGAUUUUUAUCGGGUUACAGAACUCGGCUUACAGGGUUGAACUUUUU